rnacentral:lncRNA from 1 species
CAACACUCCAGCAGCCAAUCCCCACGGAACGACAGGAAAUGUGGGAAGAUCCUGAUAGCUUUCAUAGCUGCACCGUAAGGGUUAUGAAACACGCUCCUCGGCCAAAUGAGCCCAUGCCGACUCUCCUCCCCGCCGCAGAGCCAGGCGGUUGGCUAAGAGCGCCUUGCUGGUCCGAUUUGCUCUCCAGCUCUGAGGUGUGGGGACUGAGUGUCAGAUGACCAGGAGAUGAUCAACUCAGAUCAGAAAAUUCUCUGCUGGUCACGGGUCAGCUACGUGGGCAUCUCCUCACCUGUCUGCCACAUGCCCAGGAACAAUGACUUCUGAGUCCAUUGUCUUCUCGAUACUGGGGAAUUGCCUGGGUGGAACCAAGGAAG